UUUAUACAACAAGCCCACCUUAAAUAUCAAAGAAUUGUGGAUAUACACACUGAAGUUUUUCAACUAUGUAUAAUAAAGUUCACACAAAAUAACUUCCACCAGCCCUUUCUUUGACACAUUGUAACAAAUAAAUAAAACAAUCUAAAAAUGGCUAACAACCCCACCCCCACCCCCCUUUUCCUCCAUCACAUCACCCUGAAAGUAGAAAGAAAAGACAACUCUUCUGUAGAAUAUGUCAAAAUGGAAGAUAUUGCAUCUCCAUGGAAAACUUUGACACCUGGCAAAAAAAUAAAAUGACGCAAACCUGGACGCGAUCAGCCUAAUUAGCUGCUCUUCCACCAUGGAUGUGUCUGAUGAAUAAGAUAAUAUUCAAUAUUACAGGAACACAAUAUAUAAAACUUGCUCUUCUCAAAGGCUCUUUACAUGUCAGCUCUGAGGUGCAAUAGUUGCAAGAGCAUUAGCAUGUGCAGGUGAAAGAUUACUCAGAAGAGGCUGCAUUUGAUGACCAUAAAUCGAAAUUAGGUGAGAAAAUGCUUUUCCAACAUGAGCCUUGACUUCAGGGGUUUCAACAGGUGACAUGGCAACCUGGGCAAAAACAUUUACCAACUCCGGAACCAAAGAUAAGAUCUGAGAGUUAGAUGACAACACAAGAUUGCAUAUGCAACUGUAGACUGCCAUGGAUUCUUCAUGAUCUUCUUUUAGAGGAAGAACUUUCAAGAAAACAGGUAGCACCUGAUUCAGUGGGAUUGUCUCUGGAUGAACCAUUAUCAUCCUUGCCACCGCACCAGCAGCAUUGUCUCUCACUGCAUUAUCUGGCUCAGCUUCGCCAAACAAUGGGUAAAGGCCACGUAAGGCAUCUCCAUAAUAUUUCAAAGCAGCAUCACCACCAUUUUUGCACAACUCGCCAACACAAAAUGCUGCGUUCCUUCGGUUUGUAGCAUCCGCUGAAGCUAAUUCUUUAAGUACCAGGGACAUCACAGUAUCAAUAUAGCCACCAAUGGGAGCACCCAUGUGUUGAGCAACUUCUGCAAGGGUUGCAACGACCAUGGUCCGAUCUUGAGAUGGGCGCGAUGCUUUAGCAAAUUUCAUCAAAGGUUCAAACAGCUUUGAAAAGAUUGGAGCAAAAUGAGAACCCAUGGCCUUCGCGAAUGCAGGGAGGAGAUCAGAAACAGCAUCCAUUAGCACUUCGUCAUGUUCAGUGUCAUCAUCAUCAACUUCACUAUCUGAUUCUACGAGCUGACAUGCAGACUGCUCUCGUAACAGAACUACAGUUGCCUCAACAAGCUGAGUGAUAUAGGGCUCAACAGCCAUGUAACCAAAAUCCUUCACGAUGUCAGCAACAGCCAUACAAGCUUGCGCAACAACUUCUUUGUCAUCAUCUUCAAUCAUUG
rnacentral:misc_RNA from 1 species